rnacentral:rRNA from 2 species
ACACGGCCCAGACUCCUACGGGAGGCAGCAGUGGGGAAUAUUGCGCAAUGGGCGAAAGCCUGACGCAGCGACGCCGCGUGAGGGACGAAGGCCUUCGGGUUGUAAACCUCUUUCAGCAGGGACGAAGCGAAAGUGACGGUACCUGCAGAAGAAGCACCGGCCAACUACGUGCCAGCAGCCGCGGUAAUACGUAGGGUGCAAGCGUUGUCCGGAAUUAUUGGGCGUAAAGAGCUCGUAGGUGGUCUGUUGCGUCGGCUGUGAAACCCCGAGGCUCAACCUCGGGCCUGCAGCCGAUACGGGCAGACUAGAGUUCGGCAGGGGAGACUGGAAUUCCUGGUGUAGCGGUGAAAUGCGCAGAUAUCAGGAGGAACACCGGUGGCGAAGGCGGGUCUCUGGGCCGAUACUGACACUGAGGAGCGAAAGCGUGGGGAGCGAACAGGAUUAGAUACCCUGGUAGUCCACGCCGUANACGUUGGGCGCUAGGUGUGGGUUCCCUUCCACGGGAUCCGUGCCGCAGCUAACGCAUUAAGCGCCCCG